ensembl:lncRNA
GAACCUAGAAUUAUUAGUUAUUAAGUCAAGGGCCAUUUGUUUAAUAUUUUGACUCAGAGACUGUGUGUGCUAACUCUGCUGGUCCUGUGGAGGCAGCAGCAUCUGUUGAAGAAAACACUACCAUGGAAUGGUGUUGAGGUCUGUGCUGCUCCAAGGUUUUCCCUGAGGCCAUGAUUUAUGGAGAGAAAAAAAAGUAGUUCCAGAAGCAUGUUUGGCAGAGUCAUUAACAGAGCAGGAAAGAGGUAAUUUUGUGAGCAGAUGGUGGAGGUUUUUUGAAAACAGGGCUGUAAAUGCCAUUGAGUUCUGAAAUGUCAUGGAGGGGCUGUUCUUGUUGAACAGUGGAAGAGCGUUGAGAGAAUCACUGACAGUUGAAGGCCGAGUUUCUGGAGUCUCAGAAGGGAACCUAGAAGUAUUAGUUAUUAAGUCAAGGGCCAUUUGUUUAAUAUUUUGACUCAGAGACUGUGUGUGCUAACUCUGCUGGUCCUGUGGAGGCAGCAGCAUCUGUUGAAGAAAACACUACCAUGGAAUGGUGUUGAGGUCUGUGCUGCUCCAAGGUUUUCCCUGAGGCCAUGAUUUAUGGAGAGAAAAAAAAAGUAGUUCCAGAAGCAUGUUUGGCAGAGUCAUUAACAGAGCAGGAAAGAGAAAUGCAGGAAUGGAAAUGGAGAGGAGUCUGAGGAAAAGAAGGUCAAGCAACAGGCCCAAAGUGAGAUCCAGCUCAAGGGGAGGCCCCAAGACCUGAAACCAUUACUGAAAUUAUGGAGCAUUCACAAAAAGGAUGUAUCAUGGCUGCUCUUCAAAAGACCCAAGAGGCAGCUGAAAGAGUCAGAUGCAGUUAUGUGCACCCAACCAGUGAACAGAAGCUGCUGACUCCUCUGGUUGAAUUGGAGAAAAGCUAGAGGAAGCGAAGGAGAUUCCAUCCUUUAACAUCAAGACAGGAGCAUGGCAGCAUCCAGGCAGACAUGGUGCAGGAGGAGCUGAGAGUUCUACAUCUUCAUAUGAAGGCUGCUAAUUGAAGGCUGAAUUCCAUGCAGCCUGUACCAACAGUGACACACCUACUCCAACAAGGCUAAACUAACUCCAAGAGUGCCAUACCUUCUAAGAAUGCUACAUCCUGGACUGAAUAUAUAGAUAAGAUCUAUGAAGCUAAGAAAUGCAUGCUGACAGGAAUCAGAUAAAGAUGUCUCCUGAGAGACACAGUUAGAGCAUGUGAAAUAGAGAGGUGAAUGCUAGCAGCAAACCACUAAACUGAGAACGGGACUCCUGUUGGAGGAAUUAGAGAAAGGAUUGAAAGAGCUGAAGGGGCUUACAACCCCGUAAGAGCAGCAUUCCAACCAACCAGAGCUUGCAGGGACGAAACCACGACCCAAAUACUACACAUGGAUGGACCCAUGGCUCCAACUCAUAGGGAGCAGUGGAUGGCCUUGUUGGGCAGCAAUGGAAGGAGAAGCCCUUUGUCAAUAUAAGUAAAAUUUUUAAGAGAUAAGUGACAUCAUGAACAGCAGAGGACAAGGGUAGAAAUGACAAUUUAUGGAGUCCGGUCUUCGCAUGCUGUGAAAUUGUAAAGGAAAGGCAGCAGAGUAUUGUGAGAAAAACAGUCCAAGGAGAGUAAUGGACACAGAUGUGUAACCCUGUAGCUAUCUGCCCAGGGUUUCAACAGAGGUCAAUGUGUUGCAUUGUUGAGAUGGCAGCUCUGUCCCCCUUUGCACAAAAUCGGAUACCACUUAGGCUCAUGUCACUCCUUCCUCAGGACUUAGCCCUUCCAUUAGGUUAGUUGUCAGUGUCCACAGACUGCACUAAGCCAACCUUAUCAAUCAGGCCACUGUUCAGUAUUCAUUUUAAUCUCUCAGAGACUCCUCAGUCCACUCCUUUGUAGCUUCCCAUCACACAUGUGCCUUCUUGCCUUUAGCUGUUUGUAUGUAGUGCUUCCAGGUUUCUGGUUUGUGUUGUCUUAACUGUUCCCCUCCAGCAUAGAGCCCAGAGUCUGACAAACACUGACCUCUAACUCCCUCCUUCAGUUAAAUCUGUUCCCAAUAUAUACUACAUGCACUUAAUAUGUGAAGGGAAUGUACAUUGCCUGUCCCUCUGAUUUGUGAGGGUAUAUCAUAAAGUUGCUAAAUAGUACACCUUGAUGUACUGUAUUGCUUGUCCUAGGGACUUAGCAUAUGAGUUUUGAAUUAAACUGCUUGCCUAUUAAUUGUAAGAGUUUCCCAUUAAAAUAUUCGAAGUGAAAGUCAUGCAUUUUAAAAUUUUUAUUACAUCAGUACCAUUUUUAGUGCAUUUUUAAGUGAAAUCCAUCUUUAACCCUACUCUGAAAUACUGCUCAUAUUACCAAGUCAUGUGUUAUUAGUUGGCAAAGAGAAAAGAUAUUUGAAUGUGGCUUCUCUGAACUUUCUUUCUUUCUUUCUUUCUUUCUUUCUUUCUUUCUUUCUUUCUUUCUUUCUUUCUUUCUUCCUUCCUUCCUUCCUUCCUUCCUUCUUUCUUUCUUUCUUUCUUUCUUUCUUUCUUUCUUUCUUUCUUUCUUUCUUUCUUUCUUUCUUUCUUUCUUCCUUUUCCUUUGUAAAACUUUUAUCCUGCUCCCUCCAGAAGUGGCCAUUAAUGGGGGCUUUAUGAGCCACUCCAAAUACCUGAUAGAAAGUCUAUGCCCCAUUCUUGUGUAGGGUGUUUUCAGGAAAACACCUGUACUGGAUUCAUGACUGUCAUCACUUUGUCAUAUCCAGAAGACCUAGUUUCACAUCACGUCUCCCCAAAUUUUGUUCUUAUAUCAUUUCUGACUCCCUCUUCAACAACAGUACCUGAGCCUUGGAGGAUGUUGUGCUGGUUGAAUUUAAUGAACUUUCCAUAAAUCUACAUAUAAUCUGGGAAGACUGAACCAGAGUAGAGGUAUCUUCUCUAUCACAUUGUCUUGAAGGAAGUCUGUGGGUCAUUUUCUUGUGAUUAAUGUAGAAUGUCCUCUGUAAUUAUAGGUGGUGGUUCUGGAUGUUGGUACUCCAGGGUGGAUCGUCCUCAAUUGUAUAAGAAAACAGGUUCAGCAAACCAUGGGAGCAAGCACUGCCCCUCCCCAUCUCUCUGUCUCUGUCUCUGUCUCUCUCUGAGUGUGUGUGUGUGUGUGUGUGUGUGUGUGUGUGUGUGUGUAAGUGAUGAUGCAUAUAUGUAGAGGUGAGACUGCAAUGUCUUAGAGUUGGUUUGAUCCUCCUACCAAGAUUGAGGGUCAUCAGGCUUGGAUGGAAAAUGAUCUUAUGUGCUGCAUCAUCUAAAUGGAUGCUUUUUUACGAAUUUCUUCUCAUUAACAUUCUUUUCAUUUAAAAACAUAAGUGUUUCUAAUAUUUCUGUCCCUUUCUAAAUACAUCAAAUCUUAGAAAGUAUUAAGGAACACAUAAGGCUGUGCAUGUACUUUAGAGGCAGUGUGAGUUUGCUUCACACAUGGAAGGCAGCUCUGUAACAGUGAAAACAAGCACAGCAUUUUAAGGUAAGUAAAUAAUUUUUAGUACAAUCAAUAAUUGUAUAAGACUCCGGGGCCUGAUGCUCAAGUUCCUGAUUUUUUUAUCCAUUUGUGUCCAGAAGAAGCCAGUGUGUUUUUCCUGCUGUUUGAAAUAUUUCCAGAAGUUUAUGUAAAGGUAUAAACGUAGCAAUCUUUGUCCAGAAUAUAUAAAGAUGUCUAAUAACUCAACACUAAAAGGACAGUGUGGGCAAUGGAUUUCAAGACAUUUCUCCAGAGAUUUCCAAAUACUUCAUUUAUAUAUUCGAAGAUGCCCAGCUAGAAGAACAUAGCAACCAGAAAAGCAACAGCUUUUGGUCCAGCCCCUGUUCCAGUUGUUCAGGACACACAUGAAUAUCGAGCUGCACAUCUGCCUCACAUGUACUGGGAGGCCUGUCUCCAGCCCCUGUAUGUUCUUUUGCUGGUGGUUCAGACGCUGAGAGCCCAAAGUGUCAAGUUUACUUAACUCUGCUGGACGGCCUAUGGAGUUUCAUCCCCCUUUAGGGCUGCAAUCCUUCUUCUGAAUCUUGUAUAUGAGUCCUCAAGCUCUACCCAGUGUUUAGCUGUGGAUGUCUGCAUCUGUCUGAGUAAGCUGUUCAGUGGAGCCUCUCAGAGGACAGCCAUGUUAAACACUUGUCUGCAGUUGUUAUAAUUGUUAUAAAAUACUCUGUUAUAGAGUACUAUGAAAUGUGAAGGAUUGGUGCUUGCCCACGGAUGGGUAUCAAGUUUGGCUAGUAAUUAGCUGUCCAUUCCCUCAGUCUCUACUCUGUCAUCAAUUCCUGAUUUUUUUCUAUCAGUUUCUUUAUAUGGUAGAUAAAUUUGAUGAGUGUAAACUGAGGACGAUCUUUUGUUUUGUUUUGUUUUGUUUUCAGAGCU